UUAUUUUCUUUUCCUCCUCCAUCCUCACGCGUGCAGCUGACAACCCCCCACUCUCAAUCUUCAUCUUCUUCUUCUCUCCGUGAACCACCUAGCGUCGUCGCCUCCGUCCAAUCGUUUCCACCCAAGCCCAAUCGUCCGUCGCCUUCUUCCCGUCACAUCUAUCUCUGUUAGCUAAGCUCCGCCUGCCGUUGUCACGUUCUUCGUCCAUCGUCUGUAAAGCGCCAGUCGCCAUUGUAUUCUCGCAAAUCAGUCGCUUGUCGUUGUGGUUGCCCCGUCUGCACCACCGCUCCUUCCCUGUGUGCUGUCUGACGAAGCCCAACCACCGCCGCCACGUUUUCCAAGAUGUGCACCAGACUCGAGUCGACCGUCUGCCUUCUUUAACAGCGUGCGUCGAGCUGCCUCCAAAGUCAAGCCGUCCGCGAGCCUCCAUUUUUUGCAACCACUUGAGCCAGUGUUUGGUUUGGAAGUUGAAUUCUUGGAUUCUACGACGGAUUUGUUUGGAGUUUGAUUCUCCAUUUGCUUGGGUAAAGGUAAUGUACGAGGUAGAUUGAUGAAGGGCAAGAAGGUUGUGUGAAAGUCAUAUAGAAAUGUCUAGUUUUAAUCCUUCCACUCAAUGUCUUUGUUGUUUUUGUUCCGAAUUUAAGUUUUGGUUAGAAUAUUCGUCUGUUUGUUUUGUUUAAAAUUCUGUAGACUAUGUUUUGCAACUUUUGAAAUUGAUUUGAAAUAGGGCCCAAAGGCGAUUUUAUUACA